UGGUAACUACCCUGUUGCAGAACCAAAGCCAAGAAAACCUGCAGAAACAGGGCAAGUUAUCUGAGCAUACCAACACAGACCUACAAUCCAAAGAACAGUUCAAUUCAAAUCAAUGAGUUUCAAAACAAUAAGCAGUUCAGGAAGUUAAGGGAUCCAAACCAGUUUGGUUCAAUGCAAAUAUCCACUGUUGGGACUUCAGUGAAUAAGUCAAGGAGUGAAGCCUGACAUUCAAUUUUCUGAAUCCCACGUGACUUAAUUCAUGAUGUAAAAACUCACCUUCUCAUUCACUUAAAAUGCCAGAUGGAUGAUUCAGAUUUAACCAUUCAGACUUAAUUCUCCAAUUUUCCCUUGGAUCAAGCUUAUAUAAGAGGCAAUCAUUGCCAAUCAUUGGGGUUCAGACUUUUUUCCCUCAUUCCAAAAGCAUCGUGCAAUCGCUUCCCUCCCAUCUUCAGUACACGCUUUUUUUUUCUUUCUCCAUUAUUGUGAGAGCUUCAUCACUCGAAGCUCUACACGGC
rnacentral:lncRNA from 1 species